rnacentral:rRNA from 1 species
AUUGAACGCUGGCGGCAUGCCUUACACAUGCAAGUCGAACGGCAGCAUGGGUGCUUGCACCUGAUGGCGAGUGGCGAACGGGUGAGUAAUGCAUCGGAACGUACCCGGAAGUGGGGGAUAACGUAGCGAAAGUUACGCUAAUACCGCAUAUUCUGUGAGCAGGAAAGAGGGGGAUCGCAAGACCUCUCGCUUUCGGAGCGGCCGAUGUCAGAUUAGCUAGUUGGUGGGGUAAAAGCCUACCAAGGCAACGAUCUGUAGCGGGUCUGAGAGGAUGAUCAGCCACAUUGGGACUGAGACACGGCCCAAACUCCUACGGGAGGCAGCAGUGGGGAAUAUUGGACAAUGGGCGAAAGCCUGAUCCAGCCAUGCCGCGUGAGUGAUGAAGGCCCUAGGGUUGUAAAGCUCUUUUGUGCGGGAAGAUAAUGACGGUACCGCAAGAAUAAGCCCCGGCUAACUUCGUGCCAGCAGCCGCGGUAA